UACGAAGGGUGCAAGCGUUACUCGGAAUUACUGGGCGUAAAGCGUGCGUAGGCGGUUCGUUAAGUCCGUUGUGAAAGCCCUGGGCUCAACCUGGGAAUGGCAGUGGAUACUGGCGAGCUAGAGUGUGAUAGAGGAUGGUGGAAUUCCCGGUGUAGCGGUGAAAUGCUUAGAUAUCUGGAGGAACACCAGUGGCGAAGGCGGUGUUCUGGGCCGAUACUGACGCUGAUGCGCGAAAGCGUGGGGAGCGAACAGG
rnacentral:rRNA from 1 species